rnacentral:rRNA from 1 species
GACGAACGCUGGCGGCGUGCCUAAUACAUGCAAGUAGGACGCACAGUUUAUACCGUAGCUUGCUACACCAUAGACUGUGAGUUGCGAACGGGUGAGUAACGCGUAGGUAACCUGCCUAUUAGAGGGGGAUAACUAUUGAAAACGAUAGCUAAUACCGCAUAACAGUAUGUAACACAUGUUAGAUGCUUGAAAGAUGCAAUUGCAUCGCUAGUAGAUGGACCUGCGUUGUAUUAGCUAGUAGGUAGGGUAAUGGCCUACCUAGGCGACGAUACAUAGCCGACCUGAGAGGGUGAUCGGCCACACUGGGACUGAGACACGGCCCAGACUCCUACGGGAGGCAGCAGUAGGGAAUCUUCGGCAAUGGGGGGAACCCUGACCGAGCAACGCCGCGUGAGUGAAGAAGGUUUUCGGAUCGUAAAGCUCUGUUGUUAAGGAAGAACGAGUGUGAGAAUGGAAAAGUUUCAUAACUGUGACGGUAC